rnacentral:rRNA from 1 species
AGAGUUUGAUCCUGGCUCAGAUUGAAGACGCUGGCGGCAUGCCUAACACAUGCAAAGUCGAGCGGGAACACGGUGUAGCAAUACCUGCUGACGAACGGCGAACGGGUGAGUAAUACAUCGGGAUCUGCCUCAAUGGUGGGAUAACGCAGCCGAAAGCUUAAGCUAAACCGCUAAUGCCCACGUGGUGAAAGCUGGGGAUCGCAGACCUGCGCCGAUGAGAUGAGCCGAAWGUCGGAUUAGCUAGUUGGYRGGGUAACGAGCCYACCAAGGCGACGAUCUCGUAGCUGGUCUGAGAGGAYGAYCAGCCACUACUGGRACUGAGACACGGYCCAGACUCUCUACGGGAGGCAGCUAGUGGGGAAUAUUGGACUAAUGGGSGMAASCUCUGAUCCAGCSAYGCCGCGU